CCUACGGGAGGCAGCAGUGGGGGAUAUUGCACAAUGGGGGGAACCCUGAUGCAGCGACGCCGCGUGGGUGAAGAAGCGCCUCGGCGCGUAAAGCCCUGUCAGCAGGGAAGAAAAUGACGGUACCUGACGAAGAAGCCCCGGCUAACUACGUGCCAGCAGCCGCGGUAAUACGUAGGGGGCAAGCGUUAUCCGGAUUUACUGGGGGUAAAGGGGGCGCAGACGGCGAUGCAAGCCAGUAGUGAAAGCCCGGGGCCCAACCCCGGGACUGCUCUUGGAACUGCGUGGCGGGAGUGCAGGAGGGGCAGGCGGAAUUCCUGGUGUAGCGGUGAAAUGCGUAGAUAUCAGGAGGAACACCGGUGGCGAAGUCGGCCUGCUGGACUGCAACUGACGUUGAGGCCCGAAAGCGUGGGGAGCAAACAGGAUUAGAUACCCGAGUAGUC
rnacentral:rRNA from 1 species